GAUGAACGCUAGCGGCAGGCUUAAUACAUGCAAGUCGAGGGGCAGCGCGGGUAGCAAUACCUGGCGGCGACCGGCAAACGGGUGCGGAACACGUACGCAACCUUCCCAUAACUGGUGAAUAGCCCUCCGAAAGGAGGAUUAAUACACCGUAACAUAACGGAGAGGCAUCUUUUUGUUAUUAUAGUAGCAAUACGGUUUUGGAUGGGCGUGCGCCUGAUUAGGUAGUUGGCGGGGUAACGGCCCACCAAGACUGCGAUCAGUAACUGGUGUGAGAGCACGACCAGUCACACGGGCACUGAGACACGGGCCCGACUCCUACGAGAGGCAGCAGUAAGGAAUAUUGGUCAAUGGACGAAAGUCUGAACCAGCCAUGCCGCGUGAAGGAUUAAGGCCCUCUGGGUUGUAAACUUCUUUUAUCUGGGACGAAAAAAGGGCAUUCUUGCUCACUUGACGGUACCAGAGGAAUAAGCACCGGCUAACUCCGUGCCAGCAGCCGCGGUAA
rnacentral:rRNA from 1 species